rnacentral:misc_RNA from 1 species
UUUCCAUAGGUGAACCUGCGGAAGGAUCAUUAUUGUAUAACCGAGGUGCGAGGGCUGUCGCUGACCCGAAAGGUCGUGCACGCCCGAGUGCCCUCACACACAUACAUCUCACCCCUAUGUGCACCACCGCGUGGGUCCCCCUUUGGCUUGUUCGGAGGGGGGCUUACGUUUUCACACAAACUUUGUAUGCAGUGUAGAAUGUAUUUUUUGUUUUUGCGAUCACGCAAUCAAUACAACUUUCAACAACGGAUCUCUUGGCUCUC